GAUGGUGUGGUGUAGUGGUUUGAGCAUAGGACUAUGACUCGAGACCAAGGUUCGAAUCCCAGCUCGGCCA